UCACUAGAAAUAAAAAUGAUUUUGAAGUGCAUUGCUAUUGUUGGUAAAACAGAAUCCCAGAAUGGUUUGGGUUGGAAAGGACAUUAAAGAUCAUUUUGUUCCAGCCCCUGCCAUGGGCAGGGACACCUUCCACUAGAUCAGGCAGAGCCAUAUCCAGCCUGGCCUUGGCCAUGUGGCCAACAUGGACCAGGCCACUUAGCCAACAUGGACCAGACCACUUAGCCCACACCCAGCUUGUAACAAAAGAAAAAAAGUGAUUUCUUCCCAAUAAAUAAAUUUUUAUUUC